rnacentral:rRNA from 1 species
GCUAGCAGCAGCCCCUUGCCAAACACAUCUCAUCUCAGAAGCUAAGUAGGGUUGGANCUGGCUAGUACCUGGAUGGGAGACCACCUGAGAAUAUAAGGUCUGAGAGCU